AAGCGCAACGCAAUGCCAGUUUACUGGCGCUGAAACGCCUCCGGGCGCUUCAGGUAAGGAAGCCACCCCCUGAGGGUGGCUUUUUUAUAUGGC
rnacentral:ncRNA from 1 species